rnacentral:rRNA from 1 species
UACGGGGGGGGCAAGCGUUGUUCGGAAUUACUGGGCGUAAAGGGCUCGUAGGCGGCCAACUAAGUCGGACGUGAAAUCCCCAGGCUCAACCUGGGAACUGCGUCCGAUACUGGAUGGCUUGAAUCCGGGAGAGGGAUGCAGAAUUCCAGGUGUAGCGGUGAAAUGCGUAGAUAUCUGGAGGAAUACCGGUGGCGAAGGCGGCAUCCUGGACCGGCAUUGACUCUGAGGAGCGAAAGCCAGGGGAGCAAACGGG